UCUUGGGGGUGAUCUGAAGUUCCUAGGGUCCCUUCAGUUCUCCAAGUUGCUAGCGCCUGGAGGCGCGGAAAAACCGAAGACAAAGCCCGAUGGGAUCGGUGUUCCAAGAAUACCAGCAGAAGAAAUGGAGCAGGCAAAGCAGUGCUGAUUAAAAUGGUCACUUUUGAUGACCUGUAUGUUGCUUUUAUGACUUCCCCAUUUCAUGAAAGCCAGUCUUGACAGCUUGCUUGCUCUGGCAGUUCGAUGGCCUGCCCAUAACACUGCUUAUUCAGAAGAUAUAUAAGAAGCUGCCUCAUACCUAGUCAGAUCACUGGUCCUCCUAGGGCAGGAGGGUCUACAGCAACUUUCAGUGGCUCAGCCAGGCUCCGUUCCCAGCCUACCUAAAGAUGCCAGGGAUUCAGCUUGGGACCUGCUACAUGCAACAUAUGAAUUCCUCCACCGAGCUCUGCACUGUCAGAAAGAAACCUGGACGUCAAAGCCCAAAGGUAUCAAGUAAGAUCCAGCUUUCUUGAUCGGCUGCUAGGCUUGGUUCAGAAGUUAUCUGUGGUAUUUUUAGCAAAUAGCGGAAGUUUCUUCUUCAA